CUAAAAUCCCUAAAUCAAAUUUGAAAUCCCCGCGACCUACGACCUUCGUCUCCUCUAGUCCUCCCUGCUCCAUCCUGGUGACCUCCGUGUCGGCGUCUCUUCCAACCACCACCGGACCACCGCUCCAGUCUCUUGUCUCCACCAGCCCCUCAAAGUGUGUGCUCCAUCGCAACAGUCUCCAGUACUCCCUGAGUUCAGCAGUUCCUACGACCUCCGUCUCCACUGCCAUUGACCUCAGAAAAAGGAGAUUAUUAAGGAUUGAUAAUCGCUCAGUAAGAUAUGCCAAGAUCAAAAAGGUUCACGGAUAUGAGUCGGUCAAUGUCUCAUCAACAAUCUUCUUCACCAACACACGAGCAAUUGUUGAAUGAUGCACCACUUGAAGAACAAACCCAAAAUAAUGAAACACCUCAAGAGCAAGCUCAAGAUAGUGAGACACGACAAGACCAAAAUGAAUCUUCAUCUAAAAAGAAAACGAGGACUGCGUGGGAAGUUGAUGUGAUUAAUGAAGAAGGAUUUGUGAGGAAGAAAAAAUUGAAGGUUAAAGAAGUUUGGACACUCCCAUUGGGUGAAAAAAUCAUAGUCCCAUUUGACAACUUUGAUACACCAUCCACCGACGCAGCUGGAUUAUUUACUGGAACACUUGCAGGGUUGGCACAGGAAAGUAGCACAUUUCCAAUCAAUUUUACUGAUUGGAGAUUGAUGCCAAAGCAAUAUAAAGAAGAUACCUUUGCCAAAAUAAUCAAGCUAAAAUUUCACUUCCAAAAUGAUGAGUUAGCUGCAACUAAAGCUCAAUUGCAAGUUCAAAGUGAUAAAUUGCAAGUUCAAAGUGAUAUGCAAAAGGCCAUGGGAGGGGCUCUUGUUGCUAUUUUGGAAAGAACUUUUGGCAAAGUUCCUGAAGAAUUUGCUACCUUCCUUAACCAAACAUCUCAACCAGUACCCGAUGAUGGAAGCAAGCAACAAUCUUCACAAGGGAGUGGAAAGAAAAAUUCAUCCUCUAGUCAUCAUGUUAAUGGACAAUCUUCUACAUGAUAUGCAACUGUUGCAGAGGGACUCACAGUUGACGAGAUACUUGAAAACUGGAUGAAGAUAAAACCUGUAAUAGUGGAAGAAUGGAAUGAAAACAAAGAUGCUUUAAUUGAUCUUUUUGGUAAUGCCAGAACACCAGGGAAGGUGAUAGGGACAAAUUUAGCUCUCAAGUGAUCUUAUGUUAUUUUGACUAUUUGGACAAAUUUAAUGUUGUUGCUCUUUUUUCUCAGAACUAUUGGCUUCUUUUUUGAGUAAGUGAUAAACUCAUUAAGAUUGUGAUGAAAUUUGAACAUUUUGAAGUCAUUUAUCCACAGCUUAUUUUAUUUUAUUUUAAUUGAAAAAAGAUUUGUCAUUUAUCCACAAGCUCUUUUAUUUUAUUUUAUUGAAAAGAGAUAAAUCAUUUGGUACUCCAUGCAAUUUUUAAAACUAUUCAGACUUAUUCAAUAGACUUUUCAAUUAAUUAGAUCUUCAAGUUGGAAACAGAAACAUGUAAUGCAGAAAGGUGAUGUAAUAGAGAAGUACAAUUUUGUUAGGGCACAUGUCCUAACACUAGUCUUCUCAAAAGUGUAUAGUAGUGGAAAAGAAGAACAAAUUUAAGAAAUGGUAAUCUUAUCAAGCUUCUAUUUGAUUGUGAUGUAAAAAUUCUCAGUAGAAGAACUAUGAGUAAAAAUACAAGUGUUGAGUCCGCAGAGACUUUAGAGGUUUCAGGUUUUAGGGGUAAGGAAGUUGGAUGCUGAACAGGUUGCUGCUGGAUGGCCAUCCUGGCUUUCAGCUCAUGUUGGGGAAGCAAUUGAGGAUUGGCUUCCUAGACGGGCUGACACUUUUGAGAAAAUUGAUAAGAUUGGUCAAGGAACGUAUAGUAAUGUAUAUAAAGCAAGGGGCACUAUAACAGGGAAGAUUAUUGCUUUAAAGAAAGUGCGGUUUGACAAUUUGCUGCAUUACCCUGCCCUCUGUGAUGCUUUCCCUCCCUGUCAAUCUGCACAUGAAUCUCCAACCUAUCUCCUCCUAACCAACAUUAACUUCCAGUUUUACAUAAAUUCUAAGGAAGGGGCACUAUAACUGAAAUUUGUUUUUUAUUUGAUGUGUAGGUAUGCUAGAGUAGAAGAACUCACUCGAUUAUGCAAAUAAUCUACUUUCUUCCAAAUGGCAAGGAAUCGAGCUUUCCUUAGAUGCCGAGAUACACAUUGGUGGUAGAAAAAGAUCAAACAGCAACAUGAUAACUGGCAUUCAGUUUUUGUUGAAUGAUUCUCAGAGUCAUGACUACAUCUGGGGAUUCUAAGAUCCGUAUUCUCGGUGGGCACGAGGUUGUCUGUAAAUACAGAGGUCUAUCAAAAUUUGGAAAUCAGAUGUCAGCUGCAUUUAUACCUCAACUAGAAAACAUGUAAUAUCUGUUGGGGAGGACUCUCGCAUUUAUCUCUGGAAAUAUAGUAGAAGAGCUCAGGUUGCUUGCUGCGGCCAAGAAUGACAGCAUAGUGAAGGAUAUGAAAAUUAGAAGGAUAAAGAAAGAGCAGGAGCAAAGAGGUGUCAAGGAAGAGCCACAUGAGGAACCCAUCACUACAGUGGAGAUGAAUGAGCUCUCUUUUGAUGAUAAAAUUGCCACCAAUGAGCUUGGAUGUUGAAUUGAUUUUCUUUUAAUAUGUAAACUUCUUUGAAUAUUGUUAAACAUUAGCAUUUGGCAAUACAAA